AAUGCCUUGUUAAAGAAGAAGUCCCGUCCGCCUGUUUGAAAGUUAACUUAAAAAAAAAAACAAAAAAACUUUCUCAUGUUUUUCUUUUUAAUUUAUGCUUUUGUCUUUCUCUUUUUAGGAAUGGAAAUCCCCAUGCCAUUUGACGUGCAUAAAAAAAUAAAUAAAUAAUGGGCACGCUGAUGGCACAAAGAUGUCAAUACGGGAACGAGUCGUGAGGUGAGAAACGGAAGGAACGUCGAAGAAUUUCUAAUGGAAGCCGUGAAGCGUAUCCCCCAAGCUGCUGCUUUGUGAUUCGACGCCACAACGGGGGACGGGCGAUUCUGGCUGCUGCAUCAGUGGAGAAAAGAAAAAAAGAUCUCUUUUGAUCAUCGGGUCUUGUGUGCGGGUCAUCAAAAGAACGGCCAUGCGAACAGAAGAAGAAGUGAGCCGAGAUUUCAUAUCCCCGCCGUCUUCCCACUCUAUACUUUUCUUUUUUUCUGGAAGUGACAGCUCGAUAUUGCAAACACGAACGCAUAUUCUCUGGUUGCAUCGACGGCACUCGGUGAGCCGACGUGCGUAUCGGACGUCCAUAAAAAAAAAAGGAAAACCUCGAAAAUGGGCUGUUGGAAUUACGUAUGGAUGCUCUCACUCUGCUGAGAUAAAAUAGAGGGGCAUUUGUUUUGUUUUUUUAUUAUCGGCCUGGAUAUGCGAAGCUUUCAUUGGUACUUUUUUCCGGAAAAAUGGCGGACACGGAUAAGGGCAGAUGGAAAUUAAAGGAAGAAUUAUCAUUAGAUCACAUACACAACCACUCAAGUCUAUAGGUGGACCGUCUGUAUCAAUUUCUCGAACCAAUUGCUAAUCGAUCUUCUUCCAUAAGAAAAGCGCUAAGUAAAUAUCCCCAUGUUUCCAGGUGUGUCCGAUACAGCGUUACACAUCAAAUUACGUGAAAGGAUCGCGGCCUCGUUACGAACGAUUGAGAAGAAUGGAACGUUACGUAAGAUGAUCGAAGAGCCGUUUGAAUUAUCGAUGGAUCGGACGAUGCAAACCUGAAAUGGAAACAGGUCAACAUGUCAAGUCUGUCUUAAUAUUAUCGGGG